rnacentral:rRNA from 1 species
CCUACGGGCGGCAGCAGUGGGGGAUAUUGCACAAUGGGGGAAACCCUGAUGCAGCGACGCCGCGUGAGUGAAGAAGUAUUUCUGGAUGGAAAGCUCUAUCAGCAGGGGAGAAAAUGACAGUACCUGACCAAGAAGCCCCGUCUAACUACGGGCCAGCAGCCGCGGUAAUGCGUAGGGGGCAAGCGUUAUCCGGAUUUACUGGGUGUAAAGGGGGCGUAGGCGGUUCUGUAAGUCUGGAGUGAAAGCCCGGGGCCCAACCCCGGGACUGCUUUGGAAACUGGGGAACUGGAGUACAGGAGGGGCAGGCGGAAUUCCUGGUGUAGCGGUGAAAUGCGUAGAUAUCAGGAGGAACACCGGCGGCGAAGGCGGCCUGCUGGACUGAAACUGACGUUGAGGCUCGAAAGCGUGGGGAGCAAACAGGAUUAGAUACCCCUGUAGUC